rnacentral:lncRNA from 1 species
ACCCCUGGCUGACCCCUGGCUGACCCCAUGACCCCUGGCUGACCCCACUGACCCCUGGCUGACCCCAUGACCCCUGGCUGACCCCACUGACCCCUGGCUGACCCCGUCUGUCCCCGCGGCGGCCGCAGAGGAGGAGGAGGUGGACAAGAUGAUGGAGCAGAAGGUUCGGGAGGAGCAGGAGCGGCGCCGGCGCAAGGAGCUGGAGGAGAGGAUGUCCCUGGAGGAGACCCGGGAACAGCUGCUGAAGCUGCAGGAGAAACUUGGGGCUCAAAAUUCCCAUUUCCCCCUUCAAAAUUCCCAUUUUUUCCCCCAAAAUUCCCAUUUUUUCCCCAAAAAUUCCCUUUUUUUCCCCAAAAUUCCCCCAUUUUUUCCCAAAAUUCCCAUUUUUCCCCCCAAUCCAGCUGCAGGAGAAACUUGGGGCUCAAAAUUCCCAUUUCCCCCUCCAAAAUUCCCAUUUUUUCCCCAAAAAUCCCCAUUUUUCCCCCAAUUUUUCACCGUUUUUCCCCAAAUUUUCACCAUUUUUUCCCAAAAUCCCCGUUUUUCACCCCAAUCCAGCUGCAGGAGAAGCUUGGGGCUCAAAAUUCCCAUUCCCCCUCCAAAAUUCACCAUUUUUCCCCCCAAAAUUCCCAUUUUUCCCUCAAAAAUCCCCAUUUUUUCCCCAAAUUUUCACCGUUUUUCCCCAAAUUUUCACCGUUUUUCCCCAAAUUUUCACCGUUUUUCCCCAAAUUUUCCCCAUUUUUUCCCAAAAUCCCCGUUUUUCACCCCAAUCCAGCUGCAGGAGAAACUUGGGGCUCAAAAUUCCCAUUUCCCCCUUAAAAAUUCCCAUUUUUUCCUUAAAAAUCCCCAUUUUUUCCCCCAAAAUCCCCAUUUCCCCCCAAAUUUUCACCGUUUUUCCCCAAAUUUUCACCGUUUUUCCCCAAAUUUUCACCAUUUUUUCCCAAAAUUCGCGUUUUUCACCCCAAUCCAGCUGCAGGAGAAACUUGGGGCUCAAAAUUCCCAUUCCCCCUCCAAAAUUCACCAUUUUUUCCCAUUCCCCCUCCAAAAUUCACCAUUUUUCCCCCCAAAAAUUCCCAUUUUUUCCCUAAAAAUCCCCAUUUUUUCCCCAAAUUUUCACCGUUUUUCCCCAGUUUUUCACCGUUUUUCCCCCAAAUUCCCCCAUUUUUUCCCAAAAUCCCCGUUUUUCACCCCAAUGCAGCUGCUGAAGCUGCAGGAGGAGAAACCCCCUCAAAAUUCCCAUUUUUUCCCCCAAAAUCCCCAUUUUUUCCCCAAAAAUCCCCAUUUCCCCUCAAAUUUUCACCGUUUUUCCCCAAAUUUUCACCGUUUUUCCCCAAAUUUUCACCAUUUUUUCCCAAAAUCCCCAUUUUUCACCCCAAUCCAGCUGCAGGAGAAACUUGGGGCUCAAAAUUCCCAUUCCCCCUCCAAAAUUCACCAUUUUUUCCCCAAAAAUCCCCAUUUUUUCCCCAAAUUUUCACCGUUUUUCCCCAAAUUUUCCCCCAUUUUUUCCCAAAAUCCCCGUUUUUCACCCCAAUGCAGCUGCUGAAGCUGCAGGAGGAGAAACCCCCUCAAAAUUCCCAUUUUUUCCCCCAAAAUCCCCAUUUUUUCCCCAAAAAUCCCCAUUUCCCCUCAAAUUUUCACCGUUU